UGACUAAGAGGGCUAAGAGUCAAUAUAAUAAAAGUGUAUUAUUUCUAAAGGCUUGUGAACAGUCGUGCAUAGCUCGAAAGCAGAUGAGCGAUUGUAACUGCUUGGAGUAUAGAUAUCCAGGUGACAAGGGAUAUGAUUACUGCGAUACUCUGAAUAAAACAGUAGUGGCGUGCCUUAGAAAAGUAGCAAAGAAAGCAAGAAACAAUCAGCUUGACUGCUCUGCAUGUCAGCCUCUUUGUUCUGACCAAGUUUUUCAAGURACAUCUUCCUUUUCGUCAUGGCCGGCUUUCAAAUAUGAGAAAUUCUUAACG